AUCAUCACUCGGCUAGUAGCAAGGUAACGAGAGUUAGCAGCAGGCUGAGCUACUUGGAAACUUUGGUGGCUUUUGCAGAGCUACAGGAAUAACUUUGGCUUUUGCAACACUGGACUAACCAUGUCAGGAUAACAUACUCCCUUGGAUUAUAGUCAUCGGACUCGCAAAACCAGACUGUAACACGGGCUGAAAUGGGGCCUGACACUCUUGGACACAGAUGUCGGCUACGGCAGCGGCUUCAAAUACGCUUUGGUGACCAUAUUUCUAAUCGAGAGGUGAGGUAAUAUAUUUGUCUGUAUAAUAUUUUGUGAAUUGGUUUAGGACACAGUGGUGUCUUUUUUUAAGCAAGUAUCCAUUGAGAGGGGUCAGAGGAUUAGCUCAAGCUCCAACAUAUCUAGCUGCUACCUUGCUUAACAUAGCUGCUACCUCAAUCGCUUUAUUUUUUUGUGUUUUUCCCCCCUGUGGCAUUUAUUCUGUGCACAUGAACACGUUUUCAGAAUUGCUCUGUGUAACUCAGACGGUUACUCUUGUGUGUUUUGCUACUAGUUGUGCGAACGAGCCAGACAAACCAGCUGGGAGGACGGAAGCACCCCUUCUCCAUCCGCGUUCAGUAACUGAAUACGGAUUCACCCCGUAGUUGUGGUGUUUUCCAUAGCUGUUCCUUGCUCCUGUAUCACAACAUAUCAAGGCUGCCAAGUAAAUGAAGAAUGAAUCACCGCACACUGGUCAACAGCAGACAGGGUCCUUCCACAACCACAUACUUAUGCCAGUAAAAGCUACAGCUUUUCUCCUCCGAUCCAAGAAGCCUGGACUGCAGUCACCAUCUCAACACACCAACCAAGAGAAAGGCGGAUGGCUCAAUUCAGUAUGUAGUUCUGCAAAUAUUCUCAAAGGUCUUCACAGC